rnacentral:rRNA from 1 species
UACGGAGGGGGCUAGCGUUGUUCGGAAUUAUUGGGCGUAAAGAGCUCGUAGGCGGCUUGUCACGUCGGUUGUGAAAGCCCGGGGCUUAACCCCGGGUCUGCAGUCGAUACGGGCAGGCUAGAGUUCGGUAGGGGAGAUCGGAAUUCCUGGUGUAGCGGUGAAAUGCGCAGAUAUCAGGAGGAACACCGGUGGCGAAGGCGGAUCUCUGGGCCGAUACUGACGCUGAGGAGCGAAAGCGUGGGGAGCGAACAGG